rnacentral:rRNA from 1 species
UACGGAGGGUGCAAGCGUUAUCCGGAUUCACUGGGUUUAAAGGGUGCGUAGGUGGGCUAGUAAGUCCGUGGUGAAAUCUCCAAGCUUAACUUGGAAACUGCCGUGGAUACUAUUAGUCUUGAAUCUCGUGGAGGUAAGCGGAAUAUGUCAUGUAGCGGUGAAAUGCUUAGAUAUGACAUAGAACACCAAUUGCGAAGGCAGCUGGCUACACAAAUAUUGACACUGAUGCACGAAAGCGUGGGGAUCAAACAGG